UACGUAGGGUGCAAGCGUUAAUCGGAAUUACUGGGCGUAAAGCGUGCGCAGGCGGUUAUAUAAGACAGAUGUGAAAUCCCCGGGCUCAACCUGGGAACUGUAUUUGUGACUGCAAGGCUAGAGUACGGCAGAGGGGGAUGGAAUUCCGCGUGUAGCAGUGAAAUGCGUAGAUAUGCGGAGGAACACCAAUGGCGAAGGCAAUCCCCUGGGCCUGUACUGACGCUCAUGCACGAAAGCGUGGGGAGCAAACAGG
rnacentral:rRNA from 1 species